GUGGGGAAUCUUGCGCAAUGGGCGAAAGCCUGACGCAGCCAUGCCGCGUGAAUGAUGAAGGUCUUAGGAUUGUAAAAUUCUUUCACCGGGGACGAUAAUGACGGUACCCGGAGAAGAAGCCCCGGCUAACUUCGUGCCAGCAGCCGCGGUAAUACGAAGGGGGCUAGCGUUGCUCGGAAUUACUGGGCGUAAAGGGCGCGUAGGCGGACAGUUUAGUCAGAGGUGAAAGCCCAGGGCUCAACCUUGGAAUUGCCUUUGAUACUGGCUGUCUUGAGUACGGGAGAGGUGAGUGGAACUCCGAGUGUAGAGGUGAAAUUCGUAGAUAUUCGGAAGAACACCAGUGGCGAAGGCGACUCACUGGCCCGUUACUGACGCUGAGGCGAGAAAGCGUGGGGAGCAAACAGGAUUAGAAACCCCGGUAGUCC
rnacentral:rRNA from 1 species